rnacentral:rRNA from 1 species
UACGUAGGGCGCGAGCGUUGUCCGGAAUUAUUGGGCGUAAAGAGCUCGUAGGCGGCUUGUCACGUCGGUUGUGAAAGCCCCGGGGGCUUAACCCCGGGUCUGCAGUCGAUACGGGCAGGCUAGAGUUCGGUAGGGGAGAUCGGAAUUCCUGGUGUAGCGGUGAAAUGCGCAGAUAUCAGGAGGAACACCGGUGGCGAAGGCGGAUCUCUGGGCCGAUACUGACGCUGAGGAGCGAAAGCGUGGGGAGCGAACAGG